rnacentral:rRNA from 1 species
GACGAACGCUGGCGGCGUGCUUAACACAUGCAAGUCGAACGGAAAGGCCCUUCGGGGUACUCGAGUGGCGAACGGGUGAGUAACACGUGGGUGAUCUGCCCUGCACUUUGGGAUAAGCCUGGGAAACUGGGUCUAAUACCGAAUAGGACCACGCGCUUCAUGGUGUGUGAUGGAAAGCUUUUGCGGUGUGGGAUGGGCCCGCGGCCUAUCAGCUUGUUGGUGGGGUAAUGGCCUACCAAGGCGACGACGGGUAGCCGGCCUGAGAGGGUGACCGGCCACACUGGGACUGAGAUACGGCCCAGACUCCUACGGGAGGCAGCAGUGGGGAAUAUUGCACAAUGGGCGCAAGCCUGAUGCAGCGACGCCGCGUGAGGGAUGACGGCCUUCGGGUUGUAAACCUCUUUCACCAGGGACGAAGCGUAAGUGACGGUACCUGGAGAAGAAGCACCGGCCAACUACGUG